rnacentral:rRNA from 1 species
GUCCACGCCGUAAACGAUGAGAACUAGAUGUUGGGGGGUUGCCUCCCGGUCGUCGCAGCUAACGCGUUAAGUUCUCCGCCUGGGGAGUACCGCCGGCGAACGGUAAAACUCAAAGGAAUUGACGGGGACCCGCACAAGCGGUGGAGCAUGUGGUUUAAUUCGAUGCAACGCGAAGAACCUUACCUGCCCUUGACAUACUCGGAACUUUCCAGAGAUGGAUUGGUGCCUUCGGGAGCCGAGAUACAGGUGCUGCAUGGCUGUCGU